CCUGCCGUUGCCGGCGACCGGCGCACGGGUGAGUAACACGUAUGCAACCUGCCCGUGGCAGGGGGAUAAGCGGGGGAAACCCCGUCUAAUACCGCGUAACGCGGCCUUGGGGCAUCCCAAGGCCGCCAAAGGGAGCAAUCCCGGCCACGGAUGGGCAUGCGGCGCAUUAGCUAGUCGGCGGGGUAACGGCCCACCGAGGCGACGAUGCGUAGGGGUUCUGAGAGGAAGGCCCCCCCCACUGGUACUGAGGCACGGACCAGACUCCUACGGAAGGCAGCAG
rnacentral:rRNA from 1 species